UUGGAGGGCAGUCUGGUGCCAGCAGCCGCGGUAAUUCCAGCUCCAAUAGCGUAUAUUAAAGUUGUUGCAGUUAAAAAGCUCGUAGUUGAAUUUCGGGAUCAAAUUGUCGGUCGUGCCUCGGUACGCACUGGUAUUAUUGGUUCCUACCUUCUGAAGAACCGCGAUGUCAUUAAUUUGGUGUCGUGGGGAAUCAGGACUGUUACUUUGAAAAAAUUAGAGUGUUUAAAGCAGGCUUACGCUUGAAUACAUUAGCAUGGAAUAAUGAAAUAGGACGUUUGAUUCUAUUUUGUUGGUUUCUAGGAUUGACGUAAUGAUUAAUAGGGAUAGUUGGGGGCAUUAGUAUUCAAUUGUCAGAGGUGAAAUUCUUGGAUUUAUUGAAGACUAACUACUGCGAAAGCAUUUGCCAAGGAUGUUUUCAUUAAUCAAGAACGAAAGUUAGGGGAUCGAAGACGAUCAGAUACCGUCGUAGUCUUAACCAUAAACUAUGCCGACUAUGGAUCGGAUGAUGUUAAUUUUUUAAUGACUCAUUCGGCGCCUUACGGGAAAC
rnacentral:rRNA from 1 species